rnacentral:rRNA from 1 species
GAUGAACGCUGGCGGCGUGCUUAACACAUGCAAGUCGAACGGAAAGGCCCUGCUUGCAGGGUCCUCGAGUGGCGAACGGGUGAGUAACACGUGGGUGAUCUGCCCUGUACUUUGGGAUAAGCCUGGGAAACUGGGUCUAAUACCGAAUAUGACAAAUGUUUGGAUGCGAUUGUGGAAAGCUUUUGCGGUAUGGGAUGAGCUCGCGGCCUAUCAGCUUGUUGGUGGGGUAAUGGCCUACCAAGGCGUAGACGGGUAGCCGGCCUGAGAGGGUGUACGGCCACAUUGGGACUGAGAUGCGGCCCAGACUCCGGAGGGAGGCAGCAGGGGGGAAUAUUGGACAAUGCGCGAAAGCCUGAUGCAGCGACGUCGCGUGGGGGAUGACGGCCUUCGGGUUGUAAGAUCCUUUGGCAACCGACGAAGCCUUGUGGUGACGGUAGGUUGAGAAGAAGCACCGGCUAACUACGUG